UGGUGCAGGCUUUCUCAAGGCCAGUUUUGCAAUAUGUAUGAAAGACCUAAAACUAUAUUCUUUUUUAAUCUGAAAUGAUGAUUUUAAAUUAUGGCAAUAAGUGAGUAACAACACAAACAGAAUUGGACAUGCGCAUUUUUUAUAAAUUCAUUAAAACUUGGAAACAUUACAAAUGGUCUAACGUCCACAGUAGAAGAUGGUUAAAUAAAUUGUAAUGUAGCUGUAGGAUGGGACACAUAGCAGGCUGUAUAAAUUCUGUCUGAUGAGACAGAGAAUGCUCACAAGAUGUACUUAUAUCAAAACGCUAGCAACAAGACCAUCUGCAUAUCUGGACUGCUUACCACACUGAUUGCCUCCUGCUGUGUUCCUGUGUCACGGUUCUGAACUUUCACCGGACUGUGAGCUCAGGGCAGGUGAGUUAGAGUCCAUGGGCACUUCAGCAC
rnacentral:lncRNA from 1 species